rnacentral:tRNA from 6 species
GGCGGCAUAGCCAAGUGGUAAGGCACAGGUCUGCAACACCUUUACCACCGGUUCAAAUCCGGUUGCCGCCUCCA